rnacentral:lncRNA from 1 species
UAAAACCCUUUUCACACAGCCACCAUCGACUGCAUCGACACUAUUCCUCCGGCGAAGGCAAUGCGACCUCUGGCGUAGGUUUCCCCUCCGCAUCUUCCUCUAUUCUCUGUUCUUGCUAGCUUGAGAAUUUUGGAGUUUGAACAUAAGGUAACUUUUUUCCAUAAAUUUGUUAUUCUUCUAUAAAACAUUUAUGCUUUUGUUUUCCUUUUUCUUUAUAUUAUAUCGAUACAUUUUGUGAUUUUGAUUUCUAAUUUGGAAAAAGGAAGUUUGAGUUGGUAUGGUUUCUAGUUUGAGAAAAUUAAAGUUGAGUUGGUGGAUUUUGAUUUAUGAGAUCUGCCGAAGACAAAACUGGGUUGCUAUAUUUUUCUUAUUUUUUGUCUUUUUAUUUAGUCCUAUUUCAAGAUAUGCUAACUGGAGAAAUGUACUUCUGCUAUUUGUGAUUCAUUUUUGGUCAUUUUGGUGUCCGCUUUUGUUGAUUACCGAUAGAAGGAAGUGAAAAUGAAGGGGGAAAGUGAAUAUCAGUCAAAAGAAGAUAAUAUUUGGGAACACCCUGGGAAGAGGAUAUUUUAGCAGCUUCUCUCAAAGAGUUUAAUCUUACAACUGAAGGUAUGAUUCACUAUAAUUUUUUCAAGGAAAACCUAAAGUGUGUUGAUCAUUCUAUCGUAAGCUGGAUAUGCCAUUUAUGGUAGUGGUGGGACAUUUUCCUGUUGCUCCUUCGUUAGUUUAUCUGUUAUACUAUUACUUAAUGUCAUACUUUAAUACUUGGAUAGUUCUUCUUAAUUUUUUAAUCUCUUAUCCUGGAUUGUAUGUUAUUUAGUAUGACAAUAUUUUGCCUAAGCACACAUAUAUGAAAAGGUGUUUGAUGUUGUAGGUUUUAAAAAUACUAAAAUUUUCACUCAGAUGUAGAGAAGUAAGGAAAUGGUAAUGUGGAAUCCUACUUCAAGCAAAUCCCUUAAUGAACUAGUGUGUUUAGUAAGUCAACUUUAUUUUUAUUUUUUGAAAAAUUGUUACCUUGUUGUGGUUAAUGGGAUUUGAAAAAUCUCGGGUUAGAGACAGAUGUAAUUUUCUUGUACAUUAUUAUAAAUGCUAUUUUUAUUUUUUUGUAUCUACAAAAACCUCUUGCUUGAAAACUGUUGGUAAUGGUACUAAUUCUCUUCUUCCUUCGACAAGGUAAGAACUUUAAUAUUUUUUGCUGCCCCUUUGAUAUGUGAUGUAGUGUCCUUUUCAACAGCUUUUUCCAAUAUAUGCAAAUUUAUAUUCAUAUGAUGCGAGUAGUGCAGUAGUGGAAUACUGCAUUUUCAUAGGGCAAUCUCUUUGGACUUAGUGGGAAAAAAUCUACGGGAAAUAUUUCUAAGAAGUCACAUGUUGAAAUCAAUUGAAAGAGUUAGACAUGGCAAAAGACCAUCACUCACAAACGAUAAUAUGACUGGCUUUUAUGACCGUUGAACCUUAAUAUUAAUUCUUUACUCAUUAAUAGUUCGAAGAAUUGUCAAAAUACAACUACCCUAAGAGCUAGUUGUGGGAAAGUCUUUUUAAGACGUUGGCAUAGAAUGAACAAAGAGAGCUACCAAUUUAUGAAUAAAGACAGUUCCUUUUUCCUCUGUUGUAUAACAACACCUUAAAAGAUUUAAAUCAAAAAUAAUAGUUAAACAAGUGAAUGCAAAGCCAAGAAUCAAUUUUUUCCUAUCUACAAUUUAUAGAAUUCAUUAUGUUUUAAGAGCCAGUGAGCUUUAUGUAAUCUGUGCCAUAAAUUUUAUCUAUUAUCACUACCUUUAUCAUCCAAAAAUAUCAAGUUUUUUUUAUGUUCUACUUUUGAUGCUUCAUAGUUGGUCAGUCUUUCUGGUGUAGUGCCUUUUUUAUUUACUAGUGAACUUGGUGCUUCUGGUGUUUCUUAAGUUGGAGAUUGAGGUCAUUUUGAGAAUUAUUCUGAAGACUUUUAAUCGGUGAGGGGCUUAAUAGUUAACUGAUAGUACUAAUCAAGAAAAUUAAUUAACUGAUAGUAACAAUGAAAAAAAUUAGUUAACUGAAAGUACUUGAGCUUCUAUAGAGUAUAUAGUGGUUCUAUGUCCAUCAGAAAUGACGAUAGAGUGUUUUUAGCUCUCGUCAAUAUAAUAGUUAAAAUACAAUGCACCUUUUACCCCAAUUUCUAAUAUUUGUUAUAUCAAAUUUUCUUUUUCAUUGAUCUAUCAGAAACUUCGUUUAUGUACUGUUAUAAUAUUUUCUUGUAAAGAAACUCAGUAUGUCAUUAUUUUGGAUUUUAUACUGCUCAUUUUAGUUGUUAUUUGAGUUUAUAAUUAUACAACAUGCAUUUGCUCAAGCUUUCUAAUAUUUAUUUUUCAUCUUUUGCAGGUAAAUCAAAUGAAUAAUGGGAAGACGAAAGAAGUAAAGAUAAUAUUUGGCUGGCCGGUGCUACACUCUUACAUGUUCUAGGAAUCCACUACAAAAAAUUUGGUAAAUUGUGACGGUUUAUUUAUGGGGUCAUAAAAAACUUCACUAUACGUUUGUUUUAUGACGUUUGAGCCAACCCCCACAAAAUAGUUCUUAUUGUGGCGGUUUAAGUGUGGGAGUCGUAAAAGACCCCUAUUGUAUAUUCAAUUCGUGGCGUUUGUUCCCACCUCCUUAAAAUUUUUCUUAUUAUGGCGGUUUCUUUGUGAAGGUUUUUGAUAACCUCCACAAAUAUAUCAAUUCUAGGUAUUUGAGAAAUUGUUGUAAUUCGAUGCAAGUUAACGAUUAUUAACUCGUUAAAAUUUUAUUUA